UACGUAGGCGGUUUAGUAAGUUAAUUUGUGAAAUCCCCCGGCUUAACCGGGGAAUCGCGGUUAAUACUGCUAAACUCGAGUACAAGAGGGGAGAGUGGAAUUCUGGGUGUAGCGGUGGAAUGCGAAGAUAUCCAGGAGAAGGCCGGUGGCGAAAGCGACUCUCUGGCUUGAUACUGACGCUGAGGUACGAAAGCGUAGGUAGCGAACAGGAUUAGAUACCCUGGUAGUCC
rnacentral:rRNA from 1 species